UUUUUAUGGCCGCUCCCACAACAUAUGGAGGUUCCCAGGUUAGGGGUCGAAUCGGAGCUGUUGCUUCCUACACCACAGCCACAGCAACGCGGGAUCCGAGCCGCAUCUGCAACCUACACCACAGCUCAUGGCAACGCCUGAUCCUUAACCCACUGAGCAAGGCCAGGGACCGAACCUGCAACCUCAUGAUUCCCAGUCGGAUUCGUUAACCACUGAGCCACGAUGGGAACUCCACCCAGACUUAUUUUCAUUUACUACAUGUCUACCUCUUUAUCACCAAAAAGUUCGAAAGAACUACACUGUAAAUUUCAUUGAUACUUUCCAUUGAAAAUAUCAAUGUUUAGGGAAACAUUUAUCAUACAAAACAUGAGCCAAGAAUUACAUAGUGAACAUAUGCCAUUAUUACUGUGGUGGGUCAGCAUUAUCACGGACCACUUGCUAUUGCUGGUGGAAGCCAGAGAUCAUCUAACUGAUGAUCUUUCCUGUGUACUCCAUAAACUGUAAAGUAAAAACUGCUGCUCAAGCACCUUACACAAACACUCGGUGCAAACGCUGACACUGCAUGCAUAUUCUAUAUUUGGUACCAUCAGAAAACAGAGAGUAACAAACCUGGUCUACAAUGUCGUUGACUUUAUCCCGUUCACAGUCCAGGAUUACACGCCGUUCCUUUUUUAGCUCCAGAUCCUGAAAGAGCGAUCGGUAGGUCUCAUCUUUCUUGUCAUUGUUAAUGUUCCCCACAUUGAUAGCAGUCACUUGCCACUUCUUUUCAGCAGCAGAAUCCAGCACAGCUUGCAGGGUCGAUAAGCCUAGGAUGGCAAAGAAAGAUAACCUACAGUUAGUAUGGUUAUAAAUAUGUACUUAUUUUCACUUCAUACCAAAAACUCUUUCAUCUAACUGUCAUUGUCUUGAAUAAAGAGUCAUGGUUUGGAGAAAAAUCAUAUUCCUUUCUUUUAGCCUUCUCAGGGGUCUUCUUUUGAAUAUUACCAAAGCAUACUGUCUUUAAUAAAGCCAAAAGGCAUUAAUUCAAUCAAAAGACAUUACAAAAAAAAUUAUCUCCUAUGUGGAAUGGAAAAAAACUCUUUAGAAAUGAGAGUCUUCCAUUUCACAUUAUUAUCCUGAAGAGGUUGAAUCCUUUUUCAGUGAGAUGGAAUCCAUGUUGGGUCUCUGUCAUUAUAAAAGCCAAUAAUCUAGGAAUAAUCUAUUUCCUCUUAUUGCUUUUCUUGUCAGCAUUUGUUGUUAUUUUUUCCCCUCCGCUUUUUGUUAUAUAAUUUAUUGUUAUUGGGACUAAUCCUAUAAAAAUUGUGUUCACCUAUUAACCAGAUGAUAGCAGUUAGUUUUCUAGCACAAAUUUUUGCAUUUACUUAACUUUCCAAAUGUGAAACCAUUUUAUAUUUCUUUAGUAACUUUGCUAAUAGGAUCAUAUUCCUUACUUUUAUUCUUAUGUUUAAUUGUUCAUACAUUACCUCAUAUGUAUGAUUCAGAGGGAAAACAACUUGGGAACAUAUUUCCUAAAGUUAAUUCUGUAUUUGAGUGCUUAGAAAACCAGUAUAUAAAUUUUCCUUCCACAUCACUUCAGCUGUUCAUAGCCAACCCAAGUUCAUUAUUUUCUAUGAAUAGCUUAACGAACAUCAAAAAAUCAGGGCUCCAGAAAGAAUUUAGGACUCAUCACUUCAUCAUCCUUAUUCGACAAAGACAAGAAUAUGGAUCCCUUUUUACUCAUAAAAUGUGGUAGUAUUUAAAUCUGUUUGCCAUGCAAAAGAUAUGUGUAUGCAUUCUAAAUACAGUUGAAAGUUAUCUGAACCUGGAAAAGAUCAUUAAUUUUUUUAUUGACUCUACAUUGACCCAGAGUAUAUAAGAUGUACCUAGAACAUCCCAUCAUACCAUAAAGUAAAGAAGCUUUCCCAAACUAUCAGCAUCGUGUCAGAAGACCCAGGAGCCAAUUUGAUGAAAAUCACUCUAAGUAAAGAUGAGUUAAUUUGAACAUUAGUAAGAACAGUAACUUCUAAAGACUUAACUACAUAAAAUUUUUUAAAUCCAUACAUUUCUUAAAUGUAAUGACAUUUAGGAAAGAUAUUUGAUUACCUUUGAAGGAUGCUAGGGAGCCAAGUUAUUAUUUUGAAAACUGGUAAAUAAAAGAAAAGAAAUGAGCAUUUUCUUGCCAUUCCCAUAUGAACAAUACUCAGGAUAUAGUUAAUUAAGGGAGAUUUUCUUCUUGGGAGGACUCCUGCUAAUAAAUGAGGGACGAUUAUAGCUUUAGAAUUACGACCAUCUUAUAACACCUAGUGAAUUAAUGAAUCAAAGCAACAAUCAUUAACUGUUGCUAACAACACAAAAAGAGAGACAGCCGGAAGUUAACAUGUCGUCAAAUAGGGAUAUUCCAACACCACCUAUGAAGUAAUCAUGCCAAAAAAAUUGAACAUGAAGCUCAUCAACAUUUAGAUCAAAUGACCCUUUUAUAAGGAAUAUAUUGCACAGAGUAAUGUGCUAAAAGCUACAGUGGGACAAUCAUCUAAAUCCAGACUGUGGGAAAUUGCAUCACCUUAUAAAAGCCUUAAGAGAUAUAUUAACCAAUUGCUAUAUUUGGACCUCACUUUUAUCCUACUUCAGACAAACUGUGAAAAGAAUAGAUGACGUUUGUGAAAAAUUACUGUUAACUUGUAUGGAUAUGAUAAUGAUAUUGUGGUUAUAUUUAAAGCAAGAGAAUUGUUCUUUCAAAAUAUAAACCAAAAUAGUUACAGAUGAAAUAAUAUGAUGUCAAGUAUUGGCUUCAAAAUAAUAUCAAAGGGUGGAAGGAUGGAAAUAGACAAGACUCCUCCUAUCUGCCAUUUAAAUUUGGCUUAAGAGUCCUUGAAGGUCUUCAUAUUAUUCUGUCAAUAUUGCUACUUAAAAUAUUUCAUGGUGAAAACUUAAAAUAAUUUAAAAUUAAUAUUUCUUAAUAAAAAUUUAAAAUAAUUUACUUCUAUUCCAAAUUGGAAAGUUAAACCAUAAAUUUAAAAUGAAUAUUGUGAGGUUUUUGGCAAAACAACAAAAUUGGUUUCCCCCAUCUAGUCUUGUAACAAAAACUAUAGGAUAAAAAGAAUUUCUCAAGGAAUAACUUAAACAGAGACUUCAUGUCAUUGUAAAACAUCUAUUAAUGAUAAAACUUUUAAAACCUUACAAUUCACCUAUGAUUUCCAUUCACCCUAAGUGAGUUAAAUCUUUCCAUGAUGCACUUCAAAUCUUUUUCUUGUUUUUGGUCAUCAGUGAAAACAGAUCUAAAGCUGGUCAUCAUGAUCAAUCCAACAGCUGUGAGUAUGCUUGAAAACAGUUAUUAAGUUUAUCCAGGUUUCUUUCCAAGUAGGAAAAAGUACUAAUUCUCUAAACUAAUUUUCCACUGUCAAGGUCUUAUUUUGCAUGUUUCAAUCAUUAUGUGACUCUUCCUUGUCACCUCUUUAAAAACAACACAUCCAAGUCUUAUGUUCUUUAUGCUAUAUAUUAUCAUGUAGCACUUAUAUGUGAGCCUCCUUCCUUCUAGGCAAUGAAUUAUUUCGUGGUGUUUUUGUUUAAUUAUGAAAUUUACCACAUAUUAAGUUAAAGUUUCAAACAGUGAUAUUCUUGAUAGUCUGUCCUACCUUUCAAUGUAUUUUACAAGAAAUUUUAAAUAUUAAAGACAAUUUGUAGAUGAAUCAAGUGAUAUUUCUACACCUAACAUUUACGCGCAGUUCAUCUUGUCCAAGAAAAAGAUGAUGAAUUAAAUCAGUAAGAAUGCAUUUAAAGAAAUGGCUGAUUCAAACGCAUCCAUGUUAUGUACUGAAAGUAACACAGAGUUAAUGUGGAUUCUGUUAUUAAAACUCUCAGAAUUGAUAUUUUGUAACCUAUAAAACCUAAAAAAUGAAUCCAUUUAUUAAGAGCUAAACUGCUCAAAUGGUACAAAUAUCGGAGGAUAGAUUUAGUUUCAUCAGAAAACAUUGAAAAAUAUUAAUCAUCUUCUAAGGACACCCAGAAAUAAGGCACAAACUACAGCAGAAUCUGACUCUAAAUAUUGCUGUCCAUGGAUUUAUUUUUUAGUAAAUGACCCUCAACUUGAUCUGCCUUUCCCCACAAUGAAGCUUUUUGUAUUAUGUCUAGUUAUUUUAAAAUUAAUAGAUCACUGUAAAACUUUUAAAAAUCACUGAAAUGCAUGUUACAAAUAUUAGGGUAAAAUUAAAUUAUUCAAUUAAUACAAAUUAAUGUUCUUAGAGAAAAGCAUAUUCUGAUUAGGGAAGAAAUUACUG
rnacentral:lncRNA from 1 species